rnacentral:rRNA from 1 species
CAAACCAAAGCUGGCGACCGGCGCACGGGUGAGUAACACGUAUCCAACCUGCCUCAUACUCGGGGAUAGCCUUUCGAAAGAAAGAUUAAUGUCCGAUAGCAUAUAUUUCCCGCAUGGGUUUUAUAUUAAAGAAAUUCGGUAUGAGAUGGGGAUGCGUUCCAUUAGUUUGUUGGGGGGGUAACGGCCCACCAAGCCUUCGAUGGAUAGGGGUUCUGAGAGGAAGGUCCCCCACAUUGGAACUGAGACACGGUCCAA